CUCUCCAUCCUCAGAGGGGAGUGCCACUGUCCGAAUGUCGCACACAGCCUGCUCGAUGGUACCUGGCUGAGAUCAGCAUCACACAACCGUCAACCCUCAGCAUCAUCACCAAAGAGGCCAGCCUCUCUUUCCUCCCUGCCAUAUACUGCUGAAGCUUUAAAAACACGCCCUGUAAUGCGCUACUACUUACUACAAGUGGCUGCGUUAGAGACCGUGUUUAUUUACCGCAAGUGUCCAAAAGAGCAGCAUGAAUGGGCUCAUUUUGAAGAGAAAUACGCAUGGUCUUAUUCAUCACUCAUCAGACUGGGUGCUAAAUGAAAGAACGUGGUUUGACUUACCCUGAAGACGAAAUAGUCCUUUACUUUCGCUUGCAUUGUGGGGUUAUGAACGUGGAAGGGUGUCAGGGUUUGUAAGGGAGGGCAGCAGGCCACGGAAGCUCCGUGUCCGAAGCUUCUUCCGGCCUCCGGCGGCGUAAAGGCGACCUCAACCCCUUCCUCGGUUUCUGCAGGGUGGAGAAUCGCGGCACCCGGACUCUCCGGCUCCACCGAAUCGUUUAGCUGAAGCAUGCUGCAACAGACGCUGUUCGAGGUGCUCCUCGACAAUGUAGACACUGUUAGAUAAGGAAAUGUCCUUUCGAUGAUGCAGACUCACCCAUGGCGCACGGAUGAUGUUUUGAUUUUGAGAGCUACGAGGAAGUAAGUCAGAGCUCUCCUGCUUCACUUCCCCCCAGUAAUUCCCUUCCUCUUAAAGGGACCUCUUGUUUUCAGCUGGCUGUAUAAACACAGUUUUAAGGAGAAGGGUACACUUCUGAAAUGCCCAUAAUGACCAGUGUCAUAUUCUUAAGGGGGUUAUUAAUUAGAUUUUGCAUACUAUUAACGCGUUAUUAUCUUGUAAUUAAUCUACACCAAAAUUCCACAUUUUCAGCAUACUAAGGUGUUUAACUGACUUCUAUCGGAUAUAAUGUAGGUUUUAUUCAUGUCUUAACCUUUAACUACUACUGGUAUGCAAGGAAUUAUCUCUAAAUUUGUCCUUUUGUCUUUUAAUGGCCCAUAGGCUAUAGGUUCCUCUGGAUAACUGUUAUGGAUUGCCUCCAUCUCCAGUAUUUAUACAGUCACUAGUCAUUAUUAAUGCAUUUCUAUAAAAAAGACAGACUGGUAGCAUUGUUAUUAUGUGUUGUUUUUAUUGCCAUGUUCAAUUCUCCCUGUUUGUCUGUCAGUCUCUUUCCAUUUCUCCUUUUCUGCCUCUUUUUCUCUAUUCUGGCAGUGUCCAUCUUAUGGAGGCAGAUGGCUGUUUCCAUGCAAGUCUGGUUCAACUCAAGGUUUCUGUUAAAACUGGCCUGGGAACUCCUUGGUAUCCUCCCGGAGGAGCUGGUGGAAGUGGCCGUGGAGAUGAGUGUCUGGGCUUCUCUGCUGAGACUGCUGCCCCCUCGACCCAGACUAGGAUAAACAGAGGAAGAUGGAUGGAUGGACCUCUAAAAGCUGCAUCGUGUCUGUUGUUCUCAGGCUAUGUCAAAACUAAGCAGCCGCAAGAAUUGAAGCCAAUGCGGAAGCGUUAAAAACUGCAGUCCAUCAAGUGUCCGUUGAAGCUGACUCAGGAAAUACCGGAAACCACAUACACACCAAUUCAAAAAAGACAAUCUUAACAGCACAAAUAAACAUGUUUACUGCCUUGUACAAAAGAAGAGUAU